CAGAGUUAUCUAACUCACCAAAAACCAUGUGAACUUACCUAUGUUGCCUCGGCGGGGAACCUACCCGGGAGCUACUCUACAGUAGCCCACCCGGUACCUACCCGGUAACUACCCUGUAGUUGUAGGCUUACCCGCCGGUGGACCAUUUCAAACUCUUGACGUUAUUUUGGCACUUCUGAGUUAAUCAUACUCAAUGAGUUA
rnacentral:misc_RNA from 1 species